GAUGAACGCUGGCGGCGUGCCUAAUACAUGCAAGUCGAGCGAACAGACGAGGAGCUUGCUCCUCUGACGUUAGCGGCGGACGGGUGAGUAACACGUGGAUAACCUACCUAUAAGACUGGGAUAACUUCGGGAAACCGGAGCUAAUACCGGAUAAUAUAUUGAACCGCAUGGUUCAAUAGUGAAAGACGGUUUUGCUGUCACUUAUAGAUGGAUCCGCGCCGCAUUAGCUAGUUGGUAAGGUAACGGCUUACCAAGGCAACGAUGCGUAGCCGACCUGAGAGGGUGAUCAGCCACACUGGAACUGAGACACGGUCCAGACUCCUACGGGAGGCAGCAGUAGGGAAUCUUCCGCAAUGAGCGAAAGCCUGACGGAGCAACGGCGCGUGAGUGAUGAAGUUGUUCGGAUCGUAAAACUCUGUUAUGAGGGAAGAACAAAUGUGGAAGUAACUAUGCACGUCUUUACGGUACCUAAUCAGAAAGCCACGGCUAACUACGUG
rnacentral:rRNA from 1 species